rnacentral:lncRNA from 1 species
AGUGGGCAUUUGCUAUAUUAGAACAAGCCAAAGAUCAGAUAUUUUUGGGCAGUUGAAUCUUUCACCUGCGUAGGAAAUCAUGCCAAAUAUAAGACUGUCUUCUCUGUCCAUUCAUAAACUUUCUCUAGAUAAGGUCAUGAAUUCUUGGAAAUAAAACUAUUGUUCUUCACACAUUCUCUCCAGACUGUUAAAUUAUUUACAAACGAACCUUGGAUGAUGAUGAUUUCAGCUUGACUGAAUUAUCAUUGACUACAGUGGGCUUUAGGAAGUAGGUGCUUAAUACAUGUUUAUUGCGUGCUGUGAAGUCACUGUGCCUUUAAUUAUUUUAUUUACUUCCAACCCCAAGCUGUAGGAGCAGUCUCUUGCAUGAUGGAGUCAGUUUUCUUUUUGCUGUACUUUUAGUUCAACUUCAUCUUCUAAACUCCUCAUCGAGUGGUUUAUGUAUUAGCUUCUUAUUGAUGCUAUAUCACGUCAUGACAGACUUUUUUUUUUUUUUUUUUUUUUUUUGAGACAGAGUCUUGCUCUGUCGCCCAGGCUGGGGUGCAGUGGCACAGUCUCAGCUCACUGCAACCUCCACCUCCUGGGUUCAAGUGAUUCUUCUGCCUCACCCUCCCGAGUAGCUGGGACUACAGGCAUGUGCGACCACACCCGGCUAAUUUUUAUAUUUUUAGUAGAGAUGGGGUUUCACCGUGUUAGCCAGGAUGGAGAAGUCUCAAUCUCCUGACCUCGUGAUCCCCCUGCCUCGGCCUCCUGAUUAACAGGGGAAAAGGCAUAUAAAUGUAUUAAUGUGCAGAAGCACAGGGGCCACACAGUAUAUGAGACUCAGAGAACUGAAACCACCUUGCAAAGGUUAUGAUGGUUAGAGAAAUCUAACACAGCUGAUUUUAUCUUGCUUCUGACCCCACAGGCUGACUGUCUGCUCAUUCCUGGGUGUAGGUCAAGCUAACUAAAAAGGAGUUUAGUUUACAGUUUAACUUUAAAGCAAGGAUGAUAAUAGUCCCUUCCUGAAACUGGUCCCCUUCUUGCUUGGGAACUGAAACUGCCUUUGUAAAACUAAUGAAAGG